CGAAGUGGCGGUCAUCCUGCUUCCUAGAAAAGCUCUAACCACGUUAAUCUUUAGUUGCCUGUACCCGAAACCGACACAGGUAGGGGGGUAGAGAAUACCAAGGGGCGCGAGAUAACUCUCUCUAAGGAACUCGGCAAAAUGACCCCGUAACUUCGGGAGAAGGGGUACCACUGAGAAGUGGUCGCAGUGAAGAGGCCCAGGCGACUGUUUACCAAAAACACAGGUCUCCGCCAAGUCGCAAGACGAAGUAUGGGGGCUGACGCCUGCCCAGUGCCGGAAGGUUAAGGAAGUGGGUUAGGGAUUCGUCCCGAAGCUGACGACUGAAGCCCCGGUGAACGGCGGCCGUAACUAUAACGGUCCUAAGGUAGCGAAAUUCCUUGUCGGGUAAGUUCCGACCCGCACGAAAGGCGUAACGAUCUGGGCGCUGUCUCGGAGAGAGGCUCGGCGAAAUAGGAAUGUCUGUGAAGAUACGGACUACCUGCACCUGGACAGAAAGACCCUAUGAAGCUUUACUGUAGCUUGGAAUUGGGUUCGGGCUUGGUUUGCGCAGGAUAGGUGGGAGGCGAAGAAGAUUUGCUUGUGGGUGAAUCUGAGCCAACGGUGAGAUACCACUCUAACCAGGCUAGAAUUCUAACUUCAACCCGUCAACCGGGGGAAGGACAGUUUCAGGUGGGCAGUUUGACUGGGGCGGUCGCCUCCUAAAAGAUAACGGAGGCGCACAAAGGUUCCCUCAGGCUGGUUAGAAAUCAGCCAACGAGUGCAAAGGCAGAAGGGAGCUUGACUGCGAGACCUACAAGUCAAGCAGGGUGGAAACACGGUCUUAGUGAUCCGACGGCACCGAGUGGAAGGGCCGUCGCUCAACGGAUAAAAGUUACUCUAGGAUAACAGGCUGAUCUCCCCCAAGAGUUCACAUCGACGGGAAGGUUUGGCACCUCGAUGUCGGCUCAUCGCAACCUGGGGCGGAAGUACGUCCCAAGGGUUGGGCUGUUCGCCCAUUAAAGCGGUACGUGAGCUGGGUUCAGAACGUCGUGAGACAGUUCGGUCCAUAUCCGGUGUAGGCGCAAGAACAUUGAGAGGAGUCUUCCUUAGUACGAGAGGACCGGGAAGAACGCACCGCUGGUGUACCUGUUAUCGUGCCAACGGUAAACGCAGGGUAGCCGAGUGCGGAGUGGAUAACCGCUGAAAGCAUCUAAGUGGGAAGCCCACCUCAAGAUGAGUGUUCUCAUGGAGUAAUCCAGUAAGGUCACGGGAAGACGACCCGUUGAUAGGCGGUAGGUGGAAGUUCAGCAAUGGAUGAAGCCGAGCCGUACUAACAGACCGAGGGCUUGAC
rnacentral:rRNA from 1 species